UACGUAGGGACCAAGCGUUUGCUCGGAAUUAUUGGGCGUAAAGGGCAGGUAGGUGGUCUUAUUUGUCUGGGGUGAAAUCCUUGAGCUUAACUCAAGAAGUGCCCUAGAAACGGUAAGACUAGAGUCUUGGAGAGGGUCGCGGAAUUCCCGGUGUAGAGGUGAAAUUCGUAGAUAUCGGGAGGAACACCAGUGGCGAAGGCGGCGACCUGGACGGACACUGACGCUGAGACGCGAAAGCGUGGGGAGCAAACAGG
rnacentral:rRNA from 1 species